rnacentral:rRNA from 1 species
UACAGAGGGUGCAAGCGUUGUUCGGAAUUAUUGGGCGUAAAGGGCGCGUAGGCGGCUUAACAAGUCACUUGUGAAAUCUCCGGGCUUAACUCGGAACGGCCAAGUGAAACUGUCAAGCUAGAGUGCAGAAGGGGCAAUCGGAAUUCUUGGUGUAGCGGUGAAAUGCGUAGAUAUCAAGAGGAACACCUGAGGUGAAGACGGGUUGCUGG